rnacentral:tRNA from 1 species
AAUGAAGUGUCUGAAAAAGAGUUAUUUUGAUAGAAUAAAAAAUACGGAAAUUUUAACCGUCUUCAUUA